CUGCUCCAAGUGGGUUGUGCAUGACUGGGCUUCCACACUCCAAAGAGGAGUUCCAUUUCAAGGAUGUCACAUUUGUAAUGUUUCUGUCAUCCUCUGGAUUAACUGCUGUAUAAUUGCAGUUUGGUACUAAGAAUGCCCUUAGAAACCAUGUGCUGAAGAUGGCAGUGCUUUUGUCAGCCUGGGUUCCUGAAUAACUGCAUGGAACAGAGCCUUUACCAUAUACCCCAACCCCAAACAAAGAACACCUUCAUUGGACUAUUACACAAAUAAAAAGAUUUUGGAGAAAACAUUGGUGAAGAAUUUCAUCUGUGAAUCUUAG
rnacentral:lncRNA from 10 species